rnacentral:rRNA from 1 species
AGCGAACGCUGGCGGCAGGCCUAACACAUGCAAGUCGAACGAAGUCUUCGGACUUAGUGGCGGACGGGUGAGUAACACGUGGGAACGUGCCUUUAGGUUCGGAAUAACUCAGGGAAACUUGUGCUAAUACCGAAUGUGCCCUUCGGGGGAAAGAUUUAUCGCCUUUAGAGCGGCCCGCGUCUGAUUAGCUAGUUGGUGAGGUAAAGGCUCACCAAGGCUACGAUCAGUAGCUGGUCUGAGAGGAUGACCAGCCACAUUGGGACCGAGACGCGGCCCAAAAUCCUACGGGAGGGAGCAGUGGGGAAUCUGGCGCAAUGGGGGAAAGCCUGACGCAGCCAUGCCGCGUGGAUGAUGAAGGUCUUAGGAUUGUAAAAUCCUUUCACCGGUGAAGAUAAUGACUGUAGCCGGAGAAGAAGCCCCGGCUAACUUCGUGCCAGCCGCCGCAGUAACAC